rnacentral:lncRNA from 1 species
UCCCUGUCAGAAUUGACGUUGUGGAUUAUAUCAAUCCCUCUCUUUUCGAAAGGAUUCGACCUCGAAUCCAAACCUUGAAUGUUCAAUUUAUAGCAUUUAUCUCCAAUCAACGCAAGAACAUGAAAUGGUCCAUCUCCCCUUGGAUACAAUUUGGACCGCUUUUGAAUUCGAACCCUUCUCUUGCAUAUGUAAAUCCAAUCUCCUUUACAUGGCUACUUCUUGUCGUUUUGUGAUGCUCUAAGAAUGAUUUCAGUUGGUAAAUCACCAUUCAUUUUCCAUGCUUUACUCGGCCCAGGUGAUUAUAGUAACGACAAUUCAAAUUGAUGCAUAUUUCUCGGCAUACCAAUUUUGUAGUUCAAUCCACUGUAUAUGAACUCCUUGCUAACAAAUUCCUUCCAUCGCAUUUGAAACUCCGUUGUCUCCUCGGGAAUCACAAAUUCAAUCUCUGGUAUAUAUGAUAUCUCCCAAGCAAGAUGCGGUUGUUGUUGAAGUUUAUCCACCAAUUGAUGCUCGAUGCUCGGAUUAUAAGGGAUUCCAAUAGGAUUAUUUUUUGGAAUUAAAUCUUCGGUGACCUGCAAAACAGAAUUAUUCAAAAUAGGGAGGGAAAUAUUAGUGUUCACCAAUACCUCCUCAAUCUUAACCUCUUCUUUAGCUCACUUUCGAUUCCCCUUUUACCUUCGAUGACUCUCCUUUCUUUUCAAGUUCACUCUCGACUUCCUUUUCAGUCUUUUGUGGCUCUUCUCCAUUUUUCUCACAAUCAAUCACCUCCCAAAUUUUACUUUUACUCUCUUGUACCUUCAUGUGAUUAAUUUGAGAUUUAACCUUGUCACGAAACCGUGUUACUUCUAAUUUGAAAUCCCGACUCGCAAACUCACUUGAUGUACUAAGCACAUGCUUCGCACUAGGUGUUUUCUUUUUCCUUGGAUACUCAACCCCAUAAGAUCUUCUAGGCAUCUCUCUGAAUUCUUCUCACGCCGAUCACUCCUAUAAUAAUAAUUUGGCGCAUAUCGUUUCAUCAUAAUCGCCCUCAACUCAUCCCAAUUCUCAAUCGGCCUCUCACUAUACCUUCGCCUAGAUGUUGUCAAUUGAUCCCACCAAAUUGUAGCAUAAUCCACAAAUGAUUCACAACUAACUUCAACUUUCUCUCCUCGGAGUAAUUAUGGCAGUCAAACAUCAACUCAACUUUUUCUUCCCACGCCACUUACGCCUCAGGAUCACUCAUACCCUUAGAUUUUGGGAUUGUCAUUUUCAUACUCCUAUCACCACCAUAUCCAUAAUAAUUCGUAUUCCUUCUUCCAAACCUAUUCCCUCUAUUUUCCAUACCCCAUAUUGCAUCCUCAAUCCACUCAUCUUCAUCACUAUCGCUACAAUAUUCAUAUGCAUCAUAAAUUUCAUUCGUAGGCUCCCAUCUAUUCCUUCUCCGCACAUUAGACACUCCAACACAUUGAUCUCCAAGAAUAUUUUUCAAUUUCACAUCCAAUCUGUCUAACUUAUUUCCCAUAUUCUCCAUACCCACCAACAACCUUUCAAAUUGCUGCAUCAUCCUUUUCGACAUUUGAAAUUGACUUUGACGUGAAUUUGACAUUUUUUUGACAUUUUCUUUGUUUGACUCUUUUUUUUUUUGACUCUUUUUUUCUGAUUCUGUUUUUUUACUCAAUUUUUUCGGUAUUGUAUGGACGUGAGCAGUUCCUCGUGAACAGUAAAAAAUAUUUUUUGAAAACUUGACGACGAAUCAAAGACUCAACAAAAACUGAAAAUUAUAAGAACACUAAUAACACAAAGAAAACGCGGAAAACAAAAGUACUCAACAAAAAUAAAAUAAAAAUUGGAUAUAACCUUGAUCUUGGUGCCUUAGCUUUGAUAUCAAAUGAUGCGAACUCGGUUAGCAAGGUUGCUAUCAAACCCACAGGAAUCGACACCGAAUCUCAGGAACGCCCAAAUACGACCAAAGUUUAGGAUUUAAUUUCUUAACGAUGAAUCAAGCAACCGAAGGUAUAUUAAAUCAAUGACCUCUUGAUCACAAAGUCUCGAAAUCUCAUACCGAUUGUGGACUUGAACCAAUAAAAUUAUGAACGAAAAAACUCAGCAAGAACAAUAUUUGAAAGACCCCUUGAUUACAUAACCCAAAGAUCUAACCCGAUGCUUUUGAAUGCCACAAGAAAUCACUUUCUUGAUAAGUUCGAUUCGCCCAUUGAAGAACAAGAUAAUUGAAGCGAAAAGCUUCUAGAGAAAUUUAUUCAAUAAUUG